AACGAACGCUGGCGGCAUGCCUAACACAUGCAAGUCGAACGAUGCCUUCGGGCAUAGUGGCGCACGGGUGCGUAACGCGUGGGAAUCUACCCUUGGCUUCGGAAUAACAGUUAGAAAUGACUGCUAAUACCGGAUGAUGUCCCCCUGAGAGAUCUUGGGGACCAAAGAUUUAUCGGCCAGGGAUGAGCCCGCGUAGGAUUAGGUAGUUGGUGGGGUAAAGGCCUACCAAGCCGACGAUCCUUAGCUGGUCUGAGAGGAUGAUCAGCCACACUGGGACUGAGACACGGCCCAGACUCCUACGGGAGGCAGCAGUGGGGAAUAUUGGACAAUGGGGGGAACCCUGAUCCAGCAAUGCCGCGUGAGUGAUGAAGGCCUUAGGGUUGUAAAGCUCUUUUACCAGGGAUGAUAAUGACAGUACCUGGAGAAUAAGCUCCGGCUAACUCCGUG
rnacentral:rRNA from 1 species